CGGUUGAUCCUGCCGGAGGUUACCGCUAUCCGGAUUCGACUAAGCCAUGCGAGGCGAGAGUCAUCUGUGACUCGCCGAACUGCUCAGUAACCCGUAGUUAACCUACCCUCAAGUUCGGUCUAAUCCCGGGAAACUGGGGCUAAGACCGAAUAGCUUAUGAGUGCUGGAAAUGCCUCAUAAGCCUAAGUUCACACUUGAGGAUGGGACUGCGGCCCAUUAGGUUGUUGCCAAGUUAAAGUCUUGGCAAACCUAUAACGGGUACGGGCCUCGAGAGAGGAAGCCCGGAGAUGGAUUCUGAGACAAGAAUCCAGGCCCUACGGGGCGCAGCAGCUGCGAAACUUCCACAAUACCCGCAAGGGUGAUGGAGGGAUUUGGAGUGCUUCCUUCACAUUGUGAGGAAGCUUUUGCCGAGUCUAAAUAACUCGGAGAAUAAGCAGUGGGUAAGACGGGUGCCAGCCGCCGCGGUAAUACCCGCGCUGCAAGUGGUAACCAUUUUUAUUGGGUUUAGAGCGUUCGUAGCCGGUUCAGCAAGUCCCUGAUGAAAUCCCAUAGGUAAACUAUGGGGCUUGUCAGGGAUACUGCUGAACUUGGGACCGGGAGAGGCCAAAGGUACUCCUGGGGUAGGAGUAAAAUCCUAUAAUCCCAGGAGGACCAUCGGUGGCGAAGGCCUUUGGCUUGAACGGAUCCGACGGUGAGGAACGAAAGCUAGGGGAGCGAAGCGGAUUAGAUACCCGCGUAGUCCUAGCUGUAAACGAUGCCCACUAGACUUUGACAACCCUACGUGGGUUGUCAGAGUCGUAGGAAAACCGUUAAGUGGGCCACCUGGGGAGUACGGACGCAAGUCUGAAACUUAAAGGAAUUGGCGGGGGAGCAC
rnacentral:rRNA from 1 species